AACAGCUCAAAUUUGAAAUCUGGCCCUAGGCCCGAGUUGUAAUUUGCAGAGGAUGCUUUUGGUGCGGUGCCUUCCAAGUUCCCUAGAACGGGACGCCAGAGAGGGUGAGAGCCCCGUACAGUUGGACACCAAGCCUUUGUAAAGCUCCUUCGACGAGUCGAGUAGUUUGGGAAUGCUGCUCAAAAUGGGAGGUAUAUUUCUUCUAAAGCUAAAUACCGGCCAGAGACCGAUAGCGCACAAGUAGAGUGAUCGAAAGAUGAAAAGCACUUUGAAAAGAGGGUUAAACAGCACGUGAAAUUGUUAAAAGGGAAGCGCUUGUGACCAGACUUGCGUCCGGUGAAUCACCCAGCUCUCGCGGCUGGGGCACUUCGCCGGCUCAGGCCAGCAUCAGCUCGCUGUCGGGGACAAAAGCUUCAGGAACGUAGCUCUCUUCGGGGAGUGUUAUAGCCUGUUGCAAUACCCUUCGGCGGGCUGAGGUACGCGCUCCGCAAGGAUGCUGGCAUAAUGGUCAUCAGCGACCCGUCUUGAAACACGGACCAAGGAGUCAACCUUAUGUGCGAGUGUUCGGGUGUCAACCCCUACGCGUAAUGAAAGUGAACGCAGGUGAGAGCUUCGGCGCAUCAUCGACCGAUCCUGAUGUUCUCGGAUGGAUUUGAGUAAGAGCUUAUAGGGUUGGACCCGAAAGAAGGUGAACUAUGCGUGUAUAGGGUGAAGCCAGAGGAAACUCUGGUGGAGGCUCGCAGCGGUUCUGACGUGCAAAUCGAUCGUCAAAUAUGCGCAUGGGGGCGAAAGACUAAUCGAACCUUCUAGUAGCUGGUUUCCGCCGAAGUUUCCCUCAGGAUAGCAGUGUUGAACUCAGUUUUAUGAGGUAAAGCGAAUGAUUAGGGACUCGGGGGCGCUAUAUUGCCUUCAUCCAUUCUCAAACUUUAAAUAUGUAAGAAGCCCUUGUUACUUGAAUUGAACGUGGGCAUUCGAAUGUAUCAACACUAGUGGGCCAUUUUUGGUAAGCAGAACUGGCGAUGCGGGAUGAACCGAACGCGAGGUUAAGGUGCCAGAGUAGACGCUCAUCAGACACCACAAAAGGUGUUAGUACAUCUUGACAGCAGGACGGUGGCCAUGGAAGUCGGAAUCCGCAAAGGACUGUGUAACAACUCACCUGCCGAAUGUACUAGCCCUGAAAAUGGAUGG
rnacentral:rRNA from 1 species